rnacentral:rRNA from 1 species
UGGCGGACGGGUGAGUAACGCGUGGGUAACCUGCCUCAUACAGGGGGAUAACAGUUAGAAAUGACUGCUAAUACCGCAUAAGCGCACAGUACCGCAUGGUACCGUGUGAAAAACUCCGGUGGUAUGAGAUGGACCCGCGUCUGAUUAGCUAGUUGGUGGGGUAACGGCCUACCAAGGCGACGAUCAGUAGCCGACCUGAGAGGGUGACCGGCCACAUUGGGACUGAGACACGGCCCAA